GACGAACGCUGGCGGCGUGCUUAACACAUGCAAGUCGAACGGAAAGGCCCUGCUUUUGUGGGGUGCUCGAGUGGCGAACGGGUGAGUAACACGUGAGUAACCUGCCCUUGACUUUGGGAUAACUUCAGGAAACUGGGGCUAAUACCGGAUAGGAGCUCCUGCUGCAUGGUGGGGGUUGGAAAGUUUCGGCGGUUGGGGAUGGACUCGCGGCUUAUCAGCUUGUUGGUGGGGUAGUGGCUUACCAAGGCUUUGACGGGUAGCCGGCCUGAGAGGGUGACCGGCCACAUUGGGACUGAGAUACGGCCCAGACUCCUACGGGAGGCAGCAGUGGGGAAUAUUGCACAAUGGGCGGAAGCCUGAUGCAGCAACGCCGCGUGCGGGAUGACGGCCUUCGGGUUGUAAACCGCUUUCGCCUGUGACGAAGCGUGAGUGACGGUAAUGGGUAAAGAAGCACCGGCUAACUACGUGCCAGCAGCCGCGGUGAUACGUAGGGUGCGAGCGUUGUCCGGAUUUAUUGGGCGUAAAGGGCUCGUAGGUGGUUGAUCGCGUCGAAAGUGUAAUCUUGGGGCUUAACCCUGAGCGUGCUUUCGAUACGGGUUGACUUGAGGAAGGUAGGGGAGAAUGGAAUUCCUGGUGGAGCGGUGGAAUGCGCAGAUAUCAGGAGGAACACCAGUGGCGAAGGCGGUUCUCUGGGCCUUUCCUGACGCUGAGGAGCGAAAGCGUGGGGAGCGAACAGGCUUAGAUACCCUGGUAGUCCACGCUGUAAACGGUGGGUACUAGGUGUGGGGUCCAUUCCACGGGUUCCGUGCCGUAGCUAACGCUUUAAGUACCCCGCCUGGGGAGUACGGCCGCAAGGCUAAAACUCAAAGGAAUUGACGGGGCCCCGCACAAGCGGCGGAGCAUGCGGAUUAAUUCGAUGCAACGCGUAGAACCUUACCUGGGUUUGACAUGGAUCGGGAGCGCUCAGAGAUGGGUGUGCCUCUUUUGGGGUCGGUUCACAGGUGGUGCAUGGCUGUCGUCAGCUCGUGUCGUGAGAUGUUGGGUUAAGUCCCGCAACGAGCGCAACCCUUGUUCACUGUUGCCAGCACGUUAUGGUGGGGACUCAGUGGAGACCGCCGGGGUCAACUCGGAGGAAGGUGGGGAUGACGUCAAGUCAUCAUGCCCCUUAUGUCCAGGGCUUCACGCAUGCUACAAUGGCUGGUACAGAGAGUGGCGAGCCUGUGAGGGUGAGCGAAUCUCGGAAAGCCGGUCUCAGUUCGGAUUGGGGUCUGCAACUCGACCUCAUGAAGUCGGAGUCGCUAGUAAUCGCAGAUCAGCAACGCUGCGGUGAAUACGUUCCCGGG
rnacentral:rRNA from 1 species